AUUGAACGCUGGCGGCAGGCUUAACACAUGCAAGUCGAGCGGAGAGAGGUAGCUUGCUACUGAUCUUAGCGGCGGACGGGUGAGUAAUGCUUAGGAAUCUGCCUAUUAGUGGGGGACAACAUUUCGAAAGGAAUGCUAAUACCGCAUACGUCCUACGGGAGAAAGCAGGGGAUCUUCGGACCUUGCGCUAAUAGAUGAGCCUAAGUCGGAUUAGCUAGUUGGUGGGGUAAAGGCCUACCAAGGCGGCGAUCUGUAGCGGGUCUGAGAGGAUGAUCCGCCACACUGGGACUGGGACACGGCCCAGACUCCUACGGGAGGCAGCAGUGGGGAAUAUUGGACAAUGGGCGGAAGCCUGAUCCAGCCAUGCCGCGUGUGUGAAGAAGGCCUUAUGGUUGUAAAGCACUUUAAGCGAGGAGGAGGCUACUUUAGUUAAUACCUAGAGAUAGUGGACGUUACUCGCAGAAUAAGCACCGGCUAACUCUGUGCCAGCCGCCGCAGUAA
rnacentral:rRNA from 1 species